AAAAAAAACAAUGGAAUCUUGAAAUUCCCAGGUAAAUGGAUGGGAGUAAAAGAAACCAUCCCAAGUGAGGUAACCCAGUCACAAAAAGACAAACAUCGUAUGUACUCACUCAUAUGAAUUUUAGACAUAGAGCAAAGGAUAUGCCAACUGCAAACCUCAUCACCAAAGGAACUAGGAAACAAGAAGGACUCUAAGAGAAGAAUGCAUGGACCUCAGAGAAGGAGUAGUGGUGGGCACUCCUGAGCUAGUUUGAAGGAUGAGGGUACGGGAGAAGGAUCUGGGAGAAUGAGAGGGGGAAAGAGGCAGGGAGAGGAGGAAAGGGUGGAGCAGAAAGGUUGACAGGAUGAGAGAUGCCAUAAUAGAGGGAAGCCUUAUAGGUUCUAGGAGUGAUCUGGCACUUGGGAGAUUUCCAGAGAUCUACCUGAGGACACCAACUAACAAUCUAGGCAAUGGUGGAGAGGCUACCCUAAAUGCCCUUCCCCUAUAAUGAGACUGAUCACUGCCAUAUAUGCCAUGAUAGAGCCCUCAUCCUGUAUCUGACGGAGGCAGAGGCAGCCACCCACAGCUAAACACUGAAUUGAACUAUUGGACCAUUUGCAGAUUGGGAGGAGUGAAGAUGAAAUAGGACAGGACCAGGCUGGGGAAACCCACAGAAGCAGCUGACCUGAACAAGGGGGAGCACAUGGAUAUCAGACUGAUUUCUGGGAGGCCAGCAAGUAUCUGAUCCAGACACCACAAUGUGGAAGUCAAUGCGGAGGCCUUGGCACUCUAUGCGGCCCCUGGUAGUGGAUCAGUAUUUACCCAUGGCAUGAGAAUGGAAUUUGGUAGCACAUCCCAAAUGGAGGGAUGCUCUCUCAGCCUGGACACAUGGGGAGGGCCAAGGCCCUACCCAGGAUGAUAUAACAGACUUUGAGGAACCCCCAGAGAGGGACUUACCCUCCCUGGGGAGCAGAGGAGGAAUGAGGAGUGUGGCUAGUGGGUGAUGGAGUGAAGGGGAAGCUGAGAGAGAAGAGAUUGACAUGUAAAGCAGGAUUGUUUCUAAUUUGAACUAAUAAAAAAUAAUCUCUUGGGAAAAAUCUAAUUUAUCCAGAGUCACUCAAAGUUAAUCCUUGAUACCUUCCAACCUUAAAGUGGAACUUUGUUUUAUUUUUUCCAAACAAGAAUUCCCUGUAUAACUGUCUAG
rnacentral:lncRNA from 1 species